rnacentral:rRNA from 1 species
GGCGAUGAAGGGCGUGCUAAUCUGCGAUAAGCGCCGGUAAGGUGAUAUGAACCGUUAUAACCGGCGAUACCCGAAUGGGGAAACCCAGUGUGAUUCGUCACACUAUCAUUAACUGAAUCCAUAGGUUAAUGAGGCGAACCGGGGGAACUGAAACAUCUAAGUACCCCGAGGAAAAGAAAUCAACCGAGAUUCCCCCAGUAGCGGCGAGCGAACGGGGAGGAGCCCAGAGCCUGAAUCAGCAUGUGUGUUAGUGGAAGCGUCUGGAAAGGCGCGCGAUACAGGGUGACAGCCCCGUACACAAAAGCGCAUGUGCUGUGAGCUCGAUGAGUAGGGCGGGACACGUGGUAUCCUGUCUGAAUAUGGGGGGACCAUCCUCCAAGGCUAAAUACUCCUGACUGACCGAUAGUGAACCAGUACCGUGAGGGAAAGGCGAAAAGAACCCCGGCGAGGGGAGUGAAAAAGAACCUGAAACCGUGUACGUACAAGCAGUGGGAGCACCCUUCGGGGUGUGACUGCGUACCUUUUGUAUAAUGGGUC